GUGAAAUGUUAAAUUGGAUAUUUGCAUAAAUACAUUAGCAUCUGCAGUUGGUGAAGAUUACUGGAGGGUACCCCAACUCAUGUACUAUUCAUUUGUACAUCCAUUCCCUUCUUAACUAUACAUCAUUUCUAACUAUUUCAAUUGCAAUGCCACCGAUGGAGUAAAAACGAUGAUACACAAUGACAAUUGGUUGGUGUACAUAUUAUUUGUAUACACAGCUCUAUAAUAAUGGACAGCUGACCAUCGCUAUCACAGAUCUGUUAC
rnacentral:misc_RNA from 1 species